CCAGUGAGGGCAAAAAUAAAAAGUUAUAAGACUUUUAAAAAUGUGGAUUUUAAGGUUAUCUUUGGCGCCCCCUAGAACCUAAACCGUGGGGUGCAGCGUCAUGAUUUGAAUAACUUUUAAUGGCCAUGGGGUGUAGAUUGGCCUGAGCAAAUGUGGUGCCGGUGGAACGAAAGCCUUCGGAGGAGUUAGCGAAAUUCCAAUGUGUGCGGAUCGGCAAAAAAUGCGCAAUAACCCUUUAACCGUACAUUUGACAGAUACGCCCGCACUGACUUUUUUGUAGAUCUUAUUGAGAUACAUGUGUGUGUCAAUUUUUGUGUCAUUUUGACAAAGCGUACAGGCGUGACAGUCAAUAGUGUGAAUUUUCACCUUAGGGGGCGCUAUGGAGCCAUUUUGCAUUUUCUUGUUUGGGCGACUUCGGAAUAUCAAAUUUUUCACCAGGCCCGGUCGUCCUGCCAAAUUUCCUGAGUUUUCGCCAGUGGGAAGUGGGCCAUUUUCCAGUUCAAAGGGGAGGAAAAAGAAGAAAGAAAGAAACAAAGAAAAACCCCUACAGGAAUAACAGGGCCUACGCCCGGCUGCUCUGCAGCUGGCUCGGGCCCUAAUAAGAAGAAGAAGACUAGGGCCCCGUUGGGGCACUGGCGGGCCCGAGCCGUGUCGCACCCCCCCCCCCCCAACGCGCUGCCUCCCCGUCACAUUCAUGUCCUCUGGCCAUCGCCCUCUCUGGUAACGCCCAUCACUGCAAAGACCCUUUUCCUUCAUCGGCGUUUGCUGUUCUUCCUGCCAGUGCGUGUUGCUUUCACUUACACUUGCCACAGCCAGCCUCGUGAGUGCCUAGCCUAUUGGAUAUCACUGUCACCUACACAGGACAGUCAUACUUUGUUUUUUAAUUUCACAUUAAUUUCCAUAUUGUAUAAACGACUGGAAAAAACUUGAGCCCCUGCCCCUGUAUUAUCAUGUGCACGUCCCUGUUCUAGCUCCAAGGUGAAUCUUCACUGCUCAUGUUCUCCUCAGAAGCAGUCACCUCACUCCCCUCAGGUUACUGUACACAUGCACCAACUGCCUGCUUCAGGUUUGGAUGGAGCUUCAUGGUUGUCUUUUGGAGAAAUGAGCAGUCAAGUUGUGUUUGAAAUUUGAUUUUUUUCAGGGGCAAAAGGAAGCCUCUGCAUUCUUGUCAAAUAUGUAAAUAGCAUGUUUUUGCAGGUGCUAAAAAACAGACUCUGAGUGUGUGUGUGUGUGUGUGUGUGUGUGUGUGUGUGUGUGUGUGUGUGUGUGUGUGUGUAUCCUGCAGUACUCUGAGAAGAAUAAUAAGCAUAUUUCUGAGGGGAAUUUUGAAGAUUCAUCUGAGAGUUAGGUUUGAUUCGAUUCGAUUGACGCUCCCCACGUUCAAGUCACAUGACAUAUUUAACCGGAUGUAGCUGCAAGACGGAGCCUCGUUAACUCUCCGUUUCAACUUAUCUCAAAAGUGAGGACCUCAAACUAUAUACCAGUUUUUAAAUUGUGUUGAUAGGCCAAAUAAAACCAGAGUUAUGAUAAAUUAUGUCCGCGAUACUUUUUUUCUGCUUAUUUUUAUCACGUUCGGCGCUCGAUCGCGCUGUAUGAGACAGGAAAACAUAGCAUGCACACAUUAGCGACAGGUCUUACAGGCGGAAAAGGCUUGCCAAAAGAAAAAAAAACACACCACAACAUCUCUCCUAUUGGUGGAAAACUUCACCACAACAACCAAUCCAAAAUUAUAUGGUGACUGAUUGACAAGGGGCGGGCGCUUACGUUCUUCCUGCAAUAUGAGAAGGGAGGGAGGGACUCUCAGCAGGGAUGCAGUCUGGGACACGUAGUUGCAAACCUAGCGACUUUGUUGUUAGAUUCAAUUACUUUUCAGACCCCCUAACGACUUUUUUAGAAAGAAAGGGACUUUUAUCGACUUCUUCUGGAGUUUAGAGACUCUGACAUGAAGCAGGCUUUCCUUACUGAGGAGUUAGCAACGCUGCUAAGGGUGCAGAGCCACACAUGCGCUCCGAGCUCUGCAUGGGAGACUGAAGCUGACAGAGCUGCAGCAGUUAGCAGGUUUCACCCUCAGAGACCACC